rnacentral:rRNA from 1 species
GUCUAGUAAAGCACUUUACCGUGAAACUGCGAAUGGCUCAUUAAAUCAGUUAUCGUUUAUUUGAUAGUACCUUUACCUGGAUAACCGUGGUAAUUCUAGAGCUAAUACAUGCUAAAAACCCCGACUUCGGAAGGGGUGUAUUUAUUAGAUAAAAAACCAAUGCCCUUCGGGGCUCCUUGGUGAUUCAUAAUAACUUAACGAAUCGCAUGGCCUUGUGCCGGCGAUGGUUCAUUCAAAUUUCUGCCCUAUCAACUUUCGAUUGUAGGAUAGAGGCCUACAAUGGUCUUAACGGGUAACGGGGAAUUAGGGUUCUAUUCCGGAGAGGGAGCCUGAGAAACGGCUACCACAUCCAAGGAAGGCAGCAGGCGCGCAAAUUACCCAAUCCCGAUACGGGGAGGUAGCGACAAUAAAUACUGAUACGGGGCUCUUUCGGGUCUCGUAGUUGGAAUGAGUACAAUCUAAAUCCCUUAACGAGGAACAAUUGGAGGGCAAGUCUGGUGCCAGCAGCCGCGGUAAUUCCAGCUCCAAUAGCGUAUAUUAAAGUUGUUGCCGUUAAAAAGCUCGUAGUUGAACCUUGGCCCUGGCUGAUCUGUCCUCCUAAUCGAGCGCACGGAUUCGGUCGGGGCUUUCCUUCUGGGGAGCCCCAUGCCCUUCACUGGGUGUGGCGGGGAACCAGGACUUUUACCUUGAAAAAAUUAGAGUGUUCAAAGCAGGCCUUUGCUCGAAUACAUUAGCAUGGAAUAAUAGAAUAGGACAUCGGUUCUAUUUUGUUGGUUUCUAGGACCGCUGUAAUGAUUAAUAGGGACAGUCGGGGGCGUCAGUAUUCAAUUGUCAG